GUGAACUGCGUAUGUAAAUUGACAAAUAUGGAGCAUUAGAGAAGAAACAAAAACACACUAACAAAAAUCAACCAAUAAAUUCAAAUCACUCAUAUCCCAUAUGUGAGAAUCAUGACUACUGCCGGGAUACUUAGCACAAACGUAUGGCUGGUGGACAUGUCAAUGGAAAUCUAUCUCAAGAAUGUUGAGUACUUCAUCUAAUACAACACAAAAUAUCGAUUGGAAAAUAUUUAUAUUGAAGUCCUUUGCAAUACAAUGUUGAUAACUGCUUUUGGCUAAGGCUCUCACUUAAA